rnacentral:lncRNA from 1 species
GGCAAAUCAUGGAAAGAUUCAGAGUGUUAUACUAGUUAGACAUAACGAACAAAAUGAAGUAGCCAAGAACAAACAAUAAUUAUAGAAUUCUUUUACUUGGAAGCAAAUAAGUUCCAAGAAGAAACAAUGAUGAUAUGUUGGACAGAACAGUAAAAGGACAGGAUAACUACAUUAACCAUUGUUAAAGCAUCACAGUGUACUCCACCUAAGUAAAAUUUCAUGUACCAUAGCAGAAAAUUGUGCCCAUAGUACUUAACAUGAUUAUGGAGUAACUAAAUCCCAAUCUAUGUAAAAAUCAUAUUACAUGCACGCAAUAUAAAAAGAGUGUGAAUAAUAUGUUUCCACAACCCACAUUAGAAAUUAGAAUUCAAAUAGCAAUUCAGAUGUAUGAACACAUUUUGCUAACGCUUAAGGUCAGAAAAUGAAAAAAUUACUCUCUUUAAACUAUUUAUUUGUACUGCAUAAGCAUAUUUCUGGUAAAGAUAAUAAAAAGUAAUUGCCACUUCAAAGGUGAACAAUUGCAAGAAAGAAAAAACCCACCAUACAUCAUCUUUCAUUUUAAAUCCACGUUCGAACAUUUGCAAGAAAGAAAAAACUCACCAUAUAUAAUCUUUCAUUUUAAAUCCACAUUCCACAAGCUGUUUGUGGCAAUUUAAGUUAGCUAUAUAAAAUAUUUUGUCAAUUACAGAUACUCAUAUCAAUUGUUGCGACAUUCAACUUGAACAAAUAAUGCAAAAGUUUAUAUGAAAAUUGAACAAAUAUUAUGGAGAUGAGGCUUUAGAGGAGAUCAAAUUGGUGGAAAGGGAUAGGGAGGAUAAUGGUGGAGGAGGGAAAGGGUUCUCUCUUUUGAGCUAAGAGAGAAUGAGAGACAGAGUAAGAGAGGGUACUUAUAAACAACUAUGCUCCCUCAAUACAGAGCCUGCGUACAAGCGAGUUCCAGUACUCCCUUAUUAGUACCGAUGCACUCUUGCAGUUCCACAAAACUCGAGAGCGCCAACAAUGAAAAUCGCCUCAAGGCAUACCAGUACUCCAUCUCGAGUACCAGUUCACGACAACCAGUAUCAAUACCCAACUUGAGUUUCGUAGAACCUAAAUGUUCCCUCGCGGGAAUUAACAUUGAGUGCCAGUACCCCGCAUUUCAGCAACGGUACUGAAACGGGAAUUCGUAAAAUGCGGGUUUCAUUCAGGAACUUCGUUUUUCACACCAUUUUCACGCUAAAAUAGUUCCAACUCAUCUCAAACUCUUCCAAAAAUCUCGCAAAUGGCACGGUAAGCCAUUUUUAAUUGAACCUUAGUAAUUUGCAAAGUGUAGUAUACUACAAAUCCCUUUAGUAUCUCAAAAGGGCCCACUCUUAUCGUACUCAUACAAACCACAUCAAUCACAAACUCCUCCCCUAAAGGUGUGCCAACACACAAAACAUAAUCCAAAGUUUUAAAAGGAUAUCAAACACUUUCGAUGUAAGGUACUGAACUUCUUAAAUUAUGAAGUUACGGUGGGAUGUAAUAUGCUGAAAUUAUAAUAUAAAAAUAAAUAUAAAUAAAAAUAGUGUGAGAUACUAUUUUAUUGGAUUUAUAGACAUAAAAUAUAAGUCUGAAAUGACCCGUGUUGAAAUUGGAGCGAAAACAGAAGAUUUAGAAUUUUCUGUGUGAAACGGGGCAGAUAAAUUAGCAGAAAAUGCACAGUAUCAGAAAAUUCUGAAAACUGGAGGAUAAGCCAGAAUUAUUUUUAUGAGGCUAGAUUUAAAGUUUCAUAUCAUUCUGACACCCGGAAGGUGGAAAAUAAAAUCCGACAGUGAUUUGAUAAAGAUUACAGUUCGGUACGGCUUUCGGUGACCAAACGGGGUCGAAACUGAAAGAUUAAAAUUUCUUUCGUUAAGUUAAGCAAAACCGAAGAUGACUGUCAAAUUUGAGCUCAAACGGAUAUUCAGAGGGCUCCGGCGAAAGAUAUCAGAUUUUGAACUGCCUGGAGUGAAUAGUGUAUGCUACUAUUGGGGUGUUGACUAUAAGUAGAAGCUACUAGGCUUCUUCCUCUUCACAGCCGACCACCACCCCACGCAAGCACACGUUCAUGGUGUAGUAAGAGAAACCCUCUCUUUUCUCUCUCUAAAUAUUUCUCUCAUCCCUCUAUAUUUCUCGCCCAAAUUCGCGGCGUUGGUGGAGACCGAGUUUGCGAACGCGUUGGGAGCGACGGAUCGAGCUUUCGUGCGCCCGUUGGAGCGGCGUGCUUCUGUCUCGACGUUCACAUUUUGGUAAAUUUUUGGGAUUUGGCUCAAUCCUUAACUUUAAGUGUUCUAGUAGUCUCUAAUGAGCAUUCUUAGCAUGUUGCUCCAUUUAAUUUGGAUUAUUUGGAGGUAAUUGCAUGUUAGGGCUCAAAAAUGGGAUUUUGCAAUAUGUGAGGGUUUGAUCUAAAUUGAAUAUAUAUAAACCUAAUUGCUAGGUUUUCUGACGCGUUGGCGAAGUCGGUUCGGCGAUACGACGAGUGUACGCGAAGAUAUUAAAGAACGAAGCCGUUAAGGUACAGAUUGCCGCAGCUCGCGGCGAAAGCUUCUAAAAAUCACGAAAUCAGAACCCUAGCCUCGUGAUAGCGAUAAAAGGUGGGGGGUGUCAUCCCGAAGCAACUGGGCUUCUCCCUAUGUCUAAGUAUUUCUAUGUUGAACAUACUACAUAUAUAGUAUCAUGCAUGUUAGGGUAUUUAGAUGUUACUUUUACUAUUCUUGCAUGCUCCCUUGUAUUGCGGCAUAGUAGGCUUGGCAUGUGAACUUAGGGUGCAUGAGAAUGAGUUUGUGACAUAGAACCCUAUAGAGAUAAGUUAAACAAUAACUUGAUCUUGCAUAGAGGAUAUAUGACUAGUAUAGUCGGGACAAUUGCAUUAUGGCAAGUGACAUGUGAACCAAGUACAUACUUGACGAGUGGCAUAUGUAUACCAAGUAAACAACUUGACGAGUGGCAUUAGAACGUAGUGUUAAAAGAAUACUUGUGCAUGUUGGUCAUAGUGACCGGGUACCUUCGUUGGAAACGGAUUUGAUCAUACUCACACAGUCUGUUCAGCGCUUGUGGCGGUCGCCCCGCACAAGUAGUGCGAGCUCCGGAGUCUUGGCACGUGAAACGAUUGGGAUAGCCUAUGUGGGGUCCCAAGGGAUAGCCUAUGUGGGGUCCCGCAGACAAUCCCUCGGGUGGUUCGAGUCCCCCUUCAUAGACGGAUUUGAGUUGUGAGUCGAGGGCGCGCCUUUGGGCCAGCCAGAUGAUUGGGUAAUGAACUCAGGAAAUUAUGCAUAUUGAGCAUAGUAAGCAUAUUGAGCAUGUUGAGCAUGUUGGGCAUAGUAGAAUUGCAUGUAUACUUAAUAGAGUUAUUAUAGCAUGUUAGAGAUUACAUGGCUAUGUGAUUUACUCUUGUUCUCCAGGCAUAGUAGAACCUUGCAAUUCUUUCUAUAUGCAUCAAUUACAGUUACAGAUAUCUAUCUAUCUGCUUAUGCCUGCUUAGACCUAGUGGGAAGAUCGGCGGAGUCGGCGGCCGAACCCACUGGGAACUAUAUUUAUAUAGUUCUCACCCCACUUUGUUGCAGGGCCUAGCGAGAGAGCACCGGCAGAGGACCGUGGUAAGGGCAUCGCGCCCUAGGUAUAGUUAGCAGCUUCCACUUGCAUUAGUGUACCCUCGUGUACCCCGUGACAUAUGUUGUAUUUUGGGAGGUUGCUUGUGUAUUUUGGAGAUGUAAAUGUAAUCAAGGAUCUAAAUGUUGAAUGCCUUGUGGAUGUAAUAGCUAGAUGCUACUCUCUUUAUAUCACUCGUUUUAUUACUUGUGUCUUGCUCUUAAGUGUAUAGCACAUGUGGUGCUUCGUAUUGUUCAUGUAUGUUGUAUGUCAUCCUGGGCGACAAAAAUGUACAUGAUCUUGUUGUUGAUCCUAGGGCGGACAGGGGAGGUGCUGUCCGUUCGGCGUCUGUUCGACACGUCCGAACCGGACCAAAUUGGUAGCGGUCUCGGGGCGUGACAGAUAAUUAUGGUAUCAGAGCAAGUUAAGAGGAAAUAAAGAGAGAGAGUCUAGAACGACCUAGGAGACCCUAGGACGGUAAACCUUAAGGCUAUAGGUGCGUGAGUGAAACGUGAACCUAAGCCGAGUGGCGGAAAAUAAUUCGAUUGGGUCGAAGUUGUCUAUAUGUCUCUAGUUGCGAAUAGAGACGGAUUCAAGUGGUAUUAGUUCUUGGCUUGAAGUGAGUGUUGGCGGCCGACAACAUGACACCGAGAGUCUAGAAUAAGUAACCGUUGCCCAGGAUCGAUGAUUUAUUUGAUCAGUUGCAAGGAUCUCGGGUUUAUUCAAAGAUUGACCUGCAGUCCGGUUAUCACCAACUCAAGAUUAAGCCGGAAGAUGUACAAAAAACCGCGUUUCGUACGCGGUAUGAACAUUACGAAUUCACGGUCAUGCCGUUUGGGCUCAUUAAUGCCUCGGCAGCGUUCAUGGAUUUAAUGAACCGUGUCUUCAAGGAGUACUUAGAUCGAUUUGUCGUGGUCUUCAUAGCCGACAUCUUGGUCUACUCGCGCAGCGAUGAGGAACAUGCCGAGCAUUUGAGGAUCGUGCUUCAAAUCCUUCGGGAGGAGAAGUUGUAUGCUAAGUUUAAGAAAUGCGACUUUUGGCUCCGAAAGGUUGCAUUUCUUGGGCAUGUCAUUUCCGAGGGAGGAGUAUCUGUUGACCCGAGGAAAGUGGAGGCGAUCAAGGAUUGGCCUCGCCCGACUAACGUCACGGAAGUUCGAAGCUUCGUGGGUUUAGCGGGUUAUUAUAGACGGUUCGUGGAGGGAUUCUCGAAGAUCGUGGGUCCACUUACCCGUCUGGCUCGAAAAGGCGCCAAAUUCAUUUGGAGUAACGAGUGCGACCCGAGUUUUCAAGAGUUGAAGGAUAGAUUGACUUUGACUCCGGUACUCGCCUUACCGGUGCAAGACGAAGAGUUCGUGGUAUAUAGCGACGCGUCACAAUUGGGCUUGGGGUGUGUUCUGAUGCAGGGCGGGAAAGUGAUCGCUUAUGCGUCUCGUCAGCUGAAGAGCUAUGAGAAGAACUACCCUGUCCACGAUUUAGAGUUAGCCGCAGUAGUGUUUGCUCUCAAGUUAUGGAGGCACUACUUGUACGGCGCGCGUUGCGAAAUAUACACGGACCACAAAAGUCUAAAGUACCUAUUCACGCAAAAGGAGCUCAAUAUGCAACAGCGGCGGUGGUUGGAAUUUGCUGAAGGAUUUUGAUGUGACAAUCCUAUACCACCCCGGAAAAGCAAACGUGGUGGCCGACGCGCUUAGCAGGAAGUCAGUGGAGAAUCUUGCUAUGUUGGUUACACACCAGGAGCCACUGUGGAGAGAGAUGGAACGAUUAAAUCUCGAGAUGGUAGCUCCGGAAAUCCCGUCUAUGCUUAUGGCUCUCGUUGUCCAACCGACCUUGUUGGAGCAGAUUAAGAGUUUGCAAUCUGCGGACCCCAAUCUCCAAAAGGUGCAGCGAGACAUCGAGAGUGGACACGGCGGUGAUUUCAGUGUAGACGUUGAGGGUGCGCUUCGGUUUCGAAACCGAUGGUGCGUACUGGAGAACGAGGGGGUCCGGAAGUUAAUAUUGCAAAAAGCACAUCGGACUCCUUAUAGCAUUCACCCGGGUGGCACCAAGAUGUACCGUGAUCUGAAAAUGCAGUACUGGUGGCCGGGCAUGAAAGCUGAUAUUGGGCGCUAUGUAGCGCAGUGCCUUGUAUGCCAGCAAGUGAAGGCUGAGCGUCGAUUUCCAACGGGAAAGCUCCAAAGUUUACCUAUUCCCGUUUGGAAAUGGGAGAAUAUCGCGAUGGACUUCGUGGUCGGAUUGCCCCGUUCGACGGGUAGUCACGACGCGAUCUGGGUGAUUGUGGAUCGUAUGACCAAAUCAGCACACUUUCUACCGAUUCACACCACCUGGUCGGGCGACAAGUCGGCGCAGGUAUAUCUGGAUGAAAUUGUGAGGUUGCACGGGGUCCCGAAGUCAAUCGUGUCAGAUCGAGAUCCCCGCUUUACUUCGCAUUUUUGGAAGAACCUACAAGAAGCACUUGGCACACGACUCGAUUUUAGCACCGCAUUUCAUCCUCAAACAGAUGGGCAGUCAGAGAGGACUAUACAGAUUCUGGAGGAUAUGCCGCGGGCGUGUGUCAUUGAUUACAAGGGAAGUUGGGCAAGUCAUUUGAGAAUGGCCGAGUUCGCCUACAACAACAGUUACCAAGCUAGCAUUGGGAUGGCACUGUUUGAAGUCCUGUAUGGACGGAAGUGCCGAUCCCCUAUAUAUUGGAGCGAUGUAGGUGAACUUGCGGCAUUAGGUCCAGACGUAUUGCGAGAGGCAGAAGAGAAGGUCCGUCUUGCUCGCGAGAGGCUGCUCACGGCACAGUCGAGGCAAAAGAGCUAUUCUGACAAGUGCCGUCGAGAUUUGGAAUUCGCGGUGGGUGACCGCGUUUUCCUGAAAGUUUCGCCUAUGAGGGGCGUGAAGCGCUUUGAGGUGCGGGGGAAGUUGAGUCCCCGAUAUAUCGGACCAUAUGAAGUGUUGGAACGUGUAGGAGCGGUAGCUUACCGGCUCGCAUUGCCGCCGAAGCUCGCGGAUGUGCAUAAUGUGUUCCACGUCUCCAACCCUCGCAAAUAUAUUCACGACCCCGAGCAUGUGAUGUACUAUGAGCCACCGGAUCUACAAGAAGAUCUAAGUUAUGAUGAGUUUCCGGCAAUGAUCAUUGCUCGAGAAGUACGAAAGUUGAGAAAUCGUGAGAUUCCCUAUGUAAAGAUUCGUUGGACCAACCACGAUGAUCGUGAGGCCACAUGGGAACUCGAGGAAGCGAUGAAAGUGCAUUAUCCUUAUCUCUUCGAAGAAAUGCGUUGAGGUAUGAGUUGAUUAAGUUAUUGAAUUCGUUUCGAGGACGAAAAUUUUUUUUUGGAGGGGAGGAUGUAAGGUACUGAACUUCUUAAAUUAUGAAGUUACGGUAGGAUGUAAUAUGCUGAAAUUUUAAUAUAAAAAUAAAUAUAAAUAAAAAUAGUGUGAGAUACUAUUUUAUUGGACUUAUAGACAUAAAAUAUAAGUCUGAAAUGACCCGUGUUGAAAUCGGAGCGAAAACAAAAGAUUUAGAAUUUUCUGUGUGAAACGGGACAGAUAAAUUAGCAGAAAAUGCACAGUGUCAGAAAAUUCUAAAAACUGGAGGAUAAGCCAGAAUUAUUUUUAUGAGGCUAGAUUUAAAGUUUCAUAUCAUUCUGACACCCGGAAGGUGGAAAAUAAAAUCCGACAGUGAUCUGAUAAAGAUUACAGUUCGGUACGGCUUUCGGUGACCAAACGGGGUCGAAACUGAAAGAUUAAAAUUUCUUUCGUUAAGUUAAACAAAACCGAAGAUGACUGUCAAAUUUGAGCUCAAACGGAUAUUCAGAGGGCUCCGGCGAAAGAUAUCAGAUUUCGAACUGCCUGGAGUGAAUAGUGUAUGCUACUAUUGGGGUGUUGACUAUAAGUAGAAGCUACUAGGCUUCUUCCUCUUCACAGCCGACCACCACCCCAUGCAAGCACACGUUCAUGGUGUAGUGAGAGAAACCCUCCCUUUUCUCUCUCUAAAUAUUUCUCUCAUCUCUCUAUAUUUCUCGCCCAAAUUCGCGGCGUUGGUGGAGUGGAGAGCGAGUUUGCGAAUGCGUUGGGAGCGACGGAUCGAGCUUUCGUGCGCCCGUUGGAGCGGCGUGCUUCCGUCUCGACGUUCAUAUUUUGGUAAAUUUUGGGGAUUUGGCUCAAUCCUUAACUUUAAGUGUUCUAGUAGUCUCUAAUGAGCAUUCUUAGCAUGUUGCUCCAUUUAAUUUGGAUUAUUUGGGGCUAAUUGCAUGUUAGGGCUCAAAAAUGGGAUUUUGCAAUACGUGAGGGUUUGAUCUAAAUUGAUCAUGUAUAAACCUAAUUGCUAGGUUUUCUGACGCGUUGGCGAAGUCGGUUCGGCGAUACGACGAGCGUACACGAAGAUAUUAAAGAACGAAGCUGUUAGGGUACAGAUUGCCGCAACUUGCGGCGAAAGCUUCCAAAAAUCACGAAAUCGGAAUCCUAGCCUCGUGAUAGCGAUAAAAGGUGGGGGGUGUCAUCCCGAAGCAACUGGGCUUCUCCCUAUGUCUAAGUAUUUCUAUGUUGAACAUACUACAUAUAUAGUAUCAUGCAUGUUAGGGUAUUUAGAUGUUACUUUUACUAUUCUUGCAUGCUCCCUUGUAUUGCGGCAUAGUAGGCUUGGCAUGUGAAC